rnacentral:rRNA from 1 species
AUGAGGCAAAACCCAGGUUGCAGUAGCAAUGAAGUUACCGAGAUCGUCCAAUCUUCCCAUCAUCGUAAAGCUCCCGCUUUUGUUUUGAAACUUGACUUCCGCAAGGCUUUUGACUCUAUUUCAUGAGACGCGCUUAAUCAAGUGCUGGCUGCUAAAGGUUUUCCCCAAAAAUGGAUUGAUUGGCUCACUAGUCUAAACCUCUUUAGUCAAUCCGCCGUUCUGCUCAAUGGGACGCCUAGUCCUUGGAUCCAAUGUCGUGAGGGGUUACAGUAAGGCGAUCCUCUAUCUCCUUUUCUUUUCAUCUUGGUCGCAGACGUGUUACAAUGGCUUAUUAUCAAUGCUUGCAAUGAUGGUCUUUUGUCUCAUCCGCUUGUCGAGCACCUACCUUGCCCUGUCAUUCAAUACGCCCAUGAUACACUUAUUAUUUGCAAGGCCAAUUCCACAGCCGCUCAAAACCUCAUCUCAACUCUACAAGUGUUCUCCGCUUCGACGGGCCUUCACAUCAACUUUGACAAAAGUACUUUUGUGCCUAUUCAUGUCGAACACGAUCUGGCAACGCUUUCGGCCAAUAUACUAGGGUGCUCUUGUUGGGAAACAUAG